GGGCCUGAUUGGAAUUGACGGCAAGACGAAAUGGUAUGCAAGCAUGCGGAGCCUCGUUAGCUAGCUCCUAAAACAAAGCGAACAAAAAUUUAAUUGGCGAAAAUAAUUACGCUCUCGCUGCCUAGUCGAAGCACAGUAGACUAUCGGCUUUAUCCCAUCACAAGGUGAAGGGACGAGACAUCGCUCCGAGGAUCUCUUUCCGAAUCCAAAGAACAAGCGAUGCAGAAUAAAUCGGAAAUAGCAUGAGUAGGCCUCGCUACUCAUGUGAAAACCAAAGAGGCUAAGGCAACAGUCGGUGGCUCGGGUCUUGCUGUUGCACCAAAACCAAAGGCCGAGAUAAGCAUGUAGAAAACAUAUGGUUUCCUUGUGCGGACGCGGGUUCGACUCCCGCCAGGUCCACAU
rfam:Prevotella micans F0438 genomic scaffold supercont1.2, whole genome shotgun sequence.